rnacentral:rRNA from 1 species
UACGUACGAGGCGAGCGUUAUCCGGAAUUACUGGGCGUAAAGCGCGCGCAGGCGGAUGUUUAAGUAGGGCGUGAAAUCUCCCGGCCUAACUGGGAGGGGUCGCCCUAGACUGGGCGUCUUGAGGACAGCAGAGGUGGGUGGAAUUCCUGGUGUAGUGGUGAAAUGCGUAGAGAUCAGGAGGAGCACCGGUGGCGAAGGCGGGUCUCUGGGCCGAUAUUGACGCUGAGGAGCGAAAGCGUGGGGAGCGAACAGG